AGGAGCGGUGUGAUGGGAAACUAUCACGCACCGUUCUGAAGCCGAGUCAGGAGGGCGACCUUCUGGCUUAGGUAAC
rnacentral:ncRNA from 1 species